rnacentral:lncRNA from 1 species
AUCAACUGUUGCCCUCCCUCCGCUGCGGGUAGCAGUGAUUAUACACCUUCUGCUCGCGAAGUCUACACAAGAAUGCCGGCUCACACGGUCAGCCAUGACUACGUCAAAAAAUAUUCAUCUGCCAUUGCAAAAUGAAGAACCUUUCUCUGAGCGAUCCUCGUAAUUUUUACCAACUAGCAAACGUCCAUUGCGUGUACUGUGACGAAGGGUACUCUCAAUUGGGCUUUCCAGACAAAAAAUUGGACGUUCAUAACUCAUGGCUAUUUUUUCCGUGGCACAGAUGGUACCUUUAUUUCUUCGAAAGAAUUUGUAUGAUGUUACGUUUACUCUGCCAUUUUGGCACAGAUGUUACGUUUACCCGACCCCUGUUGGUUGCCAUCAAAUCUUCUUCUGUUGUUCUUUAGUGCGACUGCAAUAGAAUGAUACCGUAUGGGUUACGGUCUCAGUAGUCGCUGACAUUGAUAAGAAAAACAAUUGAACUCAAGAAGCAAGUAUGAUAUCAUAAAAUGUGAAUGCAAAAGGCAACAUUAAUUCGCCAUUUUUGUGUUCCACUUUUGCAACUCGAAUGUGAAUGCAAAGCUACGUAUUCCAGUCCAGAUUUACCAUGAACACACAUCAUUGGAAAUGAAAAUUUCAGUUUAUAAGAAAAAGAUAUUUGGUAGGCCAAAAACUUGUUCAAUAAUUGAAACAAACAAGGGGAGCUUAGGAAAUUUCCGGGCCAGAUAUGGGUACAGCACUUUCUUCUCGUCCCUUUGCAUAACAAUUCAAGCUUAGCAAUGAAUUUCUAGUCCCUAUCUUGAUCAAGGAGUCUGUUUGUAAGGUGUGUUUUUUCUGGUGUUUGUAUAAACUUUUACAGUAAUUUAUUGUGAAAGUUGAACAAAUUUUUUUGUAUAAAUAAGAUUUGAAAAAACUGAAAAAUUUUCAUGAUUUUUGCCUUUUGUUCUCCAUUCUUUUUUUCCCCCUUUCCUUCCUCUUUCUUCUUCCUCUCCACUCCUAUUUUGAUCUUCCUCCUCCCUCUCCAUUAUCGCCACCGCUGGUCGCCACCUCUCUCUCUCUCUCUCCCCCCCUCUUCAUCCUUGCCCCAUCCAUAUUGAUUAUAAAGUAUAAAUUCGUUAUUUCAUUUUAAAAUGUGGUGUGGCAGUCAAAUUACUACAAUGGGACCAUCAGCGGCCAUAACUAUCUCUCGUUAAAAUGUAAUUCAAAUAUUAAUAUUUUAAAAUAUAAAAUUAAAUAAGAGAAAUUUAUAAAUGCCAUUAAAUCAAAAAAAUAUCACUAAAGUAUGCAUAAAUUGCCAUUUUUUAAUGUCAUUAGAAAAGAAUUUUCUUCUAGUGUACAAUUAGUAGUGAAAUAAAGAAUCUUAGGGAAAUUAUUUGAAUUGUUUUCAUUUUCUUCACAGAGUUACUGUCCCAAAAUUACUAAAAAUUUUGGAUUGUGAUCUUUUGGACAUAUAUUUUUACAUUUUUUUCCACACAAUUUCCAAUCUCUUUUUUUUUUUUAAUCUUACAUACGUCACAUCCUUUAAAAAAAAUACUAUAAUAAUUUUUUUUCCAAAAAUUCUCCAAAAAAUGCAAUCUAAAUGGGGUCUAAUUAUUUCAAUGAAUCAUACAAUUUCAGGGUACAUCCAGACAAUAUCAAAUUGUGGGAUGAAUUUUACAAUCAUUAUUGAAAUGACACUAAUGGUCACUUUACUUGUGGUCCUUGAAUCUUAACCCAAUUAUGCAAAAUCUACAAUAGACAAUUGAAAAGGUGUCUGUGGGCCAUCAUAUCGCGCCAACUGAUCCACGUAUGUGCAUGCAUUUGUCCAAUCAAUGGAUAUCUUUAGAUAACUUUUUUUUCCAUUAAACCCUCGGCUAGCCCCAGGUGGUUUAGGUAACUUGUUUUAGAAAUUUUUUUUUAAAAAUAUCAAUUACGAAAACACUUUAAAACAAUCACACAAUUUGAAAAAUAUACAAGAAAACAUGAAAUAGGCACUGAUGGUGGGAGUAGGUACUGGUGGUAGGUGGAGUUUGCCGUGGUCUGUGAUGGGUGGUGGCCUGGUGGGGGAGGGGAAAAUAUUAAUUUUGAAUUAAUAUUAAUAUUUUUUAAAAAUAAACAUAGUAAAAUUUUAAAUAAACACUUUCAUUUGGAUUGGUCUACUUUUUAAAAACUAAUUUUUCAAAUACAAUGUUACAGUAAUACAAAAACAAAAACAAUUUAAAAAAAUUUCAUUCAUACAAUAAAUCAAAAACAACUCACAAAUAUACACAAAAAAUUUUAAAAAAUUUUACAAUAUUUUCCACUUAUCACUACCACUCGCCACCGCCACCACUGCCACCACUACCACCCUCUUCCUCCUCUCCUCGACCAGAUCCAGGGGAGGAGGGGAAGAUUGAAGGGUGGGGGGGGGAAAGGGAGGGGAGGAGGAAAAGGAAAGAGAAAGGAGGAGAGAAAGAGUGGUGACGGUUGUGGUUGUAGGUGAUAGUAUUAAUUUUUAAAAAAUAUUUUAAAAAUAUUUUAAAUUUAAAAAGUACUUCAAAUUAUAUUUCAAAAACUCCUCCAAAAAAUCACAAAAAAAAUUUUAUAGUAAAAAUUUUUCAGACACACUACUAUAGUAAAAUAUUUCAAAAAAAUUCCAAAAAAUAACUUAUCCAAACGAACCUAUAAUAUCCAAGCAGACCGUCAUUGAACAAGUUCUGCUUUUUUAUUCGCUGCAUUUAUGCUCAAUUAAAAGAUUGCACUGAAAUAUCAAAACUAUAUUAUCUAUUUUCCUUUUCUUCUCAAAGGUAUUGAAAAAGUUUUUUAACUUAAUACUUUGAACGAAAUAUCAUAUUAUAUCAGAAUAAUCCAAACAAUACAAAAUUGGCUAAUUGAAUUUUUUUAUUAUUACUCAAACCACUAUAAUUACUUUGCUUGUGGUCCUUUAUUCUCCAACAACACAUUAAAAAACAUACGCUCCAUUUGGAUUAACUAUUUUUGAGAGUGUUUUUGAAAUAUUUUAUUAUAGCAUUGUAUAUGAAAAAAUUUUAUUAUAAAUAUUUUUUGAAAUAUUUAAUAUAUUGUAUGAAUGAAAUAUUUUUUGAGUUAUUUUUGUUUGUAUAUUACUAUAAUAUUGUAUUUAAAAAAUUUGUUUUUGAAAAAUAGGUGAAUCCAAAUAAUUGAUAAGAGAAAAAAGGGAUCCUAUGGGCUAUAACACCACACGAACUUAUCCAUGCAUUUGUAGAGUUCUGCUGUCCAGUCUCAGCAUUUAUCCAUUUAUACAUUAUCGAAAGAUUUCUUUCUGCUCUCCACUAUCCACAUUAAUUAGACUAUCAUUCUCGAAUGGGUUUGGACAGGUGCGUUUUAGGUUUCUAUGCAAAUUUUUUUUUUUUUUUUUGUCGCUCCUAGAAUUUAAUCUAAUCUAAUCGAGGGGAGGAGGGGGAGGGGGACUCGAUGUGACUCCAUCGAACAUGACCAAUUAAGAUCGUCAUAAAUUGUAACAAUUUUUGGGUGAGAGGCAAGGAUCGAACCCUUAACCUCCCGCACCACCAAUACUUUUAAAGGCUUCUAUGCAAUUAUUUGAUUGUGUAUAUUUUACACAAUCUGGCAUACACUAAUAUUAUUAAUUUAAUAUAUGAAUAAAACUACAUUGAUAAACAUACACCAACAUCUAAAAAAAAAACAGAAAAAUGAUAUUAACACUUCCAAAAAAGUUUCUAACACUCCAUCCUCCCUUUAAAACAUAUAGAAACGAUGUAUUGCAGGAAGAGCACAAAAAAGGGACGGAAUGGAGGAUAGAAUGCUCGGGACUCUCUUUUUUUUUUUUUUUUUAAGUGCCAAUAAGAUCUCCCAAAAAGUAUCAAACCUCAAUUGUACUUGCUCCAAUUCCCUUCAAAUUGUGUAGAAUGUUAUUGAUCCUAUCCUAUUGAAUUAAUGCAGCAGUCAUCAUAGACUUUGCGACUGACCUUGCAUCCUUCUUCAAUUACAUCCACCAAAGAACACCAAUAACCAACCUAGAAAAAAAAAAAAAAAAGAAGAAAAACACCACUAGCCACAAGCACGUGUUUAACGCUGUACUUCUAUUUAGCAAGAAGAAAAAUAAAUACAUCGGUGACACGGGGUCGCCAAUUGCUUCAGUAUAAGAGUAGGAGCUUCCCUCAGCUUCUUCGCUACAACAAUCCCCCUAAAGAAAACUAGCCAAUGGCAUCUCUUUCAACUCCCCUUCAAAGCUCCACUGCCUACUCCUCCACCUCCACUCUGUCCUCCUGCCCUUUCUCAACCAAGCCAUCACAGUUUUACCUCAGUGCCAAACGUAACUAUCAUCAGUUCACGGUUUCAUGCAAAAACAAUGAAAGCCAUGAACAAGUUGACAAUCUUGAUAGGAGGGAUGUGCUUUUGGGCUUGGGUGGCCUUUAUGGCACCUCAAACCUCAUCACCAACCCUUUUGCCAUGGCAGCUCCUAUAGCCGCCCCAGAAAUCUCCAAAUGCCGUCAUCCGAAGGACUUACCUUGUGGAGCAGUUGUCACUGACAAUUGCUGUCCGCCGGUGCCCGGCAAAGUCAUUGACUACAAACUCCCUCCACCACCUAAGGUGAACCGUUUUAGGCCAGCUGCUCAUUUGGUCAAGCAAGACUAUAUUGAAAAACUUAACAAGGCGGUCGAGCUCAUGAAAGCUCUGCCAGCUGAUGAUCCCCGUAAUUUUACCCAACAAGCAAAUGUUCAUUGCGCUUAUUGCAACGGUGCCUACAUCCAAUCAGGCUCUGAUCAAGAAAUUCAAGUCCAUAACUCGUGGCUAUUCUUUCCUUUUCAUAGAUGGUAUUUGUACUUCUAUGAAAGAAUCUUGGGAAAGCUAAUAGGCGAUCCCAGUUUUGGACUGCCCUUUUGGAACUGGGACAACAUUGGUGGUAUGACCCUACCGUCCAUAUUUCAGGACCAAUCGUCAGCACUGUAUAACCAAAAUCGUAACCAAAGUCAUCUGCCACCAACAGUCGUGGACUUGGGGUAUAAUGGUACGGAUACAGAUGCAACAGACAUAGAAAGGAUAAAAAACAAUUUGGCAAUCAUGUACCGUCAAAUGGUCACUAAUUCCACCACUGCCAAAGAUUUCUUUGGAAAGGAAUACCGGGCCGGCGAUGCGCCCAGCCCGGGUGCAGGGUCCAUCGAGGCCAUUCCCCAUAUCCCAAUCCACAGGUGGGUCGGCGAUCCAAGGCAGCCAAAUGGUGAAGAUAUGGGUAAUUUCUACUCAGCUGGAAGAGAUAUUGUGUUCUAUAGCCAUCAUGCAAAUGUGGACCGGAUGUGGACAAUUUGGCAGCAAUUGGGAGGUAAAAGGAAGGAGGUCCCCGAUCCAGAUUGGCUGAAUUCUUCCUUCAUUUUCUACGAUGAAAAUGCUCAGCCUGUCUGCGUGAAAGUUGGUGAUUGUUUUAGCAAUGAUAAAAUGGGAUAUAUUUACCAAAAGGUGGAUAUUCCUUGGGUCAAGAAUAAGCCCGUGGCCCGCGUGACAAAAUCUAGGGUGGCUUUCACUUCCGGGGCACCACAAGCUGAUAAGGUCUUCCCGGGACCCCUUAACAAGACCGUGAAAGUGUUGGUCAAGAGGCCCAAAUUAUCAAGAAGCAAGAAGCAAAAGGAGGAGGAGGAAGAGAGAUUGGUGGUGUCCGGGAUCGAGUUUUCCAUGGACAAGUAUGUUAAGUUUGAUGUUUUCAUUAAUGAUGAAGAUGAUAAUCCAAACGAUUUUGCUAAGUCCGAGUAUGUUGGGAGCUUUGCACAUUUGCCACACAAGGUUAAAGGUGACAUGAAAGUUAAGACUACUCAAACCUUUGAGUUGACUGAGAUUUUGGAGGACUUAGAUGUUGAAGAAGACGAUGCCCUGUUGGUGACUUUGGUGCCAAAGUCCAAAACUGCUCUUACCAUUGAUAGCAUCAAGAUUGAGGUUGCUGCUUGAUUCACCUGCUAGUACUUUUUUUUUUUUUUUUUUAAUCUCCUCCCUGGGAAAAAAUCUGGCAUUAGAUUUCAUCGAUUGCUUUGAUUUUGACCUAUGCAUGCAUGUUUCAGCACCAUGAAUAAAAUACUUCUGGUGUGCUUGUCACCAGUUAAUAAAAAUAUGUUUCAGCACCUAUCUGACAACGUCCCUUUUGGUUUUUCUUUUUGAAAAGUUUAAUUUACAUUAAAGUUUAAGAUCUUAUGACGCCAUCUAUCUAACUUUCUCCACUCAAAAAAAAAAGGAAAAAAAAAGAAAUAGAAAAAGACAAUUCUUCCUCAAUCAAAAUUAAAUUUUUCUGUGCGUAUCCAGAAGGAAAACAAAAAGUAAUCCUCAAGUACCACGUUUGGCAAAGCUUACAAGUGUUAGCUUCCGAUUCGCCAUUUCAAGUAGUCAGAUAGACUAUACAUUUAAUUUACCAAAAUAUAGGAGAGUAUUUUUUUUUUUUUUUUGAAAAAGAAUAUAGGAGAGGUUACAAAAAGUAAGGGAAUUCUACAAUAAUAAUGAUCCUUGCUUUUUGUGUGUUGAGGAAAGAGGUGAUUUCUUAAAUUUGUGCGAUCCCACUUUUCAUUUCAUAUACCACUUUUGAUUUCAUGUGCAACCUUAUUAAUUUGUGAAGACAGAACUUUAUAUUCUCCUACUUUCACAAUCAAUAGUUCAAUACAUAAGAAUAUCUGCAGCACAUGUGAAAGCUUGAUCAACAACAAAGGAAUUGAUUAGUUUCUAGCUCAAGUUGCCUAAUGAUUCAUAGGAAUGAAAGUUAAAAGGGCUUGACCCCGGCUCCUAUUUUUUAAUGUACAUUUACUUUAUAGGAAUAGGGUAAUAAUAUGCCAACCUACCCAAAGUUUCACGACCACGACAUGGAUCUCCCCUUGAAUUCUUGGAAGUGUAAUUUAGUGUUAAGUGUAUAAUAUGAGCUGUUAUACAUUUUUCUUAGAAUUCUAAGGGCGUUCUUGUUAUAGUGAGCAUCCACUUAAACACUAACAUCUUCCUUGUGUGCAACUGCUUCUUGUAAAACGAUCUAAGCAAGUGUCUUUAAAAUUCUUGGUCCGACUCUUAAGUCCUUGUUUUCUUCAUUUUUCCCUUAUAAUGCUUGAAAUUUUCUUUGAACAAUUAAAAGAAAAGUUGAAUAAGGACAGAUAAAGAUUAAUAUAACUUUAUAUAAGUGAAUUCUCUAUUCCUUUCCCCCUCCCUACUUUUGAAGUUCUUGUAGAUUUAUUACCAUUCGAAAUAUUUGACAAACUUGGCUCUCUCACUCUACAUUAAAUAGCUAUCGGUCAAAUUUACCAGGUUCGGAUAUAUUGCAGUCUUGUAGGACAAAGACCGACCAAUAAUUUGAUGUCAUCGGAAAUGCCUGUCGAGAAUUUACAAAGGGAACAUAUCCAGUCUCACAAAUAUAUGAAAUGGGGCAACAUAUAUAUUUGGUGAACCAUAUCCAGUCUCACAAAUUAAUCUUGAGUACAAUAAAUAUGCUGUGCUCCAAGAAUUAGACUAGAGAUGGAUCUUCUGUGGUGUAACCGGGCAAUGACCGACCAACCAGUAGGCUAUGUAUAUUGUUGUUGGAGUAGUUAGAUUCACAUUUGAGCUUUCACAUGCGAUGUUUCCCUCGCUACUACAAAAAUGUCCUUUUAUGACAUUUAAAAGCGUCAUUAUAGCUCAAUGUAAUGACGUUUGAUCUAUAAUGACGCUCUGCUAGAAACGCCGUCCAUUCCAGCGUCACUAUAAGUUUUAUGACAGUCAGAGGAGUCAUAAUUUAUAGUUCUGUUGGCAUUUGUAAACGUCAUUAUUUAUCGUUUUAAUGACACUUUAAAAUGACAAGAAAUCCUUUGGACAGAAUCUCAUACUCAAAAUGUCCCAUUUGUAGAAUAUUUUUUAAAUUCAUCAUAAUUUUAGAAAUUUCUCUGAAAGUCACCAACACACUUUGAUAAUCUUCAAAUGAAUCAUUCUCAUCUUUCGCCUUUCGAAAGGAUAAUUAUUCUUUCCUGCGAGCCCACAUCCGAAUUAGUACUAAUCAGUAUAAACUUGGCAUACCCCUAUAACUAUAAGUAGGCUUGUUGAUCGUUGGGGCCUUUAGCUUUCAAUUGUCUGUACUACUUGGUUGUACUACGAUACUAUACAGACGGAAAACUUAUAAGAAAAUAGACAAUUUGUACUACACAUUUCUCGGCGGCCAUAGGUCAGACAAUUCGUACAUCUUUUUAAUUGUUCAUAAAAUAUUUUAACCUUUUUAAUCUGUUUUUUAAGUGUAUCUAGGUAGAUUGCAUGUGGAAGCAGAGAAGAUAUCAUCUCCUCAGCCGGCAGGACUUUACCUAUGCCUUUUCUUAUCAAUUUCUUCUUUUUUUUUUUUUAAUUUCUCAAAACUCCUUAAAUUUACUACACACCUUUCUAUAGAACAAACCUCAGCUCUAAUAUCCAACUACAAGAUUAAUACUAUUUAUACUCAAACACAAAGAUUAUUACUUAUUAAAAGAACAACAUCAAACUUUAGUUUGAAACUCUGUAAAGAAAUUAUUAAAUCAAGCCUUAUUACGCUUUUAUGCUUUAGUAUUAGUAUAUGUUAAGUUAGUAGAGAGCCAGGUGUCAUUCGUAGAGUAAGUUAUUUUUCAGUUAGUAUGAUGACGACAUGAGAUACAGUCCCUUGUACGUAGUAGUCAGUACAAUAGUUGUCAGGCAGUACGGUAGUUGUAUGUGACAAGUAAGCCGCAUGGGACUACCAUGAGAGUCCCUCUGUUUCGUCUAAAGUGUGCAAUGGCCUAAGAUUCAUGAGAGUAGAAAAGCCGCAGCCUUCAUCUUCAUCGUGAGAAAUAAAAGGUUUUUUUUUUCCCCUUUGUCUCUUAAUCAAUUUCCUGAAGAUUUUCUCGUGGGUUUUUGUUGUCGAGUAAUUUCUUGAAGAUUUUCCUGUGAUGAUGGUUUGGGUCCAUCAAACUCAAAAAUACAGCAAAGAAUCUUGUUUGUUGUUUGAAUUUAAUUAUGAAUUCAUUUAUUUAUUUAUUUUGAGCAAAAGAGGUUUAUGAAUUUAAGAUAUUGAAAAACAAAAGCAUAAAUCCCAGAUUUUAUCCACAUACUACGCUCUAGUAAAAGCCUCGCUAGCAUGCAUAGUUUUUUCGGCUUCAUUGCUAUGGAGGCUCACACUGCUUUUGUUUUCCUCUCCAUUACUCAUCAAUUAUGUAUGCUAUAAAUUAUAAUAGAUGAAGCAAUCAGCAGAAAAUGCAUAUGAUAAAGUAUGUGUGUUUGAACUUAGCAAAGAACAAUAAUUUUAUUUGAUUUGGGGAGAACAAAAAAUUGCUUAUGAGUACUAAACCAGUGGUUUUCUCUUAACCAGGAACUUGUGCAAAGUAGUUUGUUUAGGCACCGAUCCUUUUGUCAAAGAAUACAAGCUUCGUUUUUCCAUGCAUCAGGAACUUUUGUACAUAUUUAUACGUGUUCUUCUUACAUUUUCUGUUUUUUUCCCUUUAAAGCGACUGCCCAGGAACUUGUCAGUUGUCACUGCCUUUUGUCUAUGCAAUUACAUUGAGCACUUGUAAUUGAGAUCAGAAGAGCAAAAUUUAAGUGGAUUAUUUGAGUCACAGUUUUUUUUUUCACUGUGCAAUAGUCUCUGCAAUGUGCAUUAUUUCAGCAGCAGGAGGUCAAAAUCACAGCAUCAGACAAUCCAGGUUCCAUGGACUGAAUUGAGGCCAUAUCAGGUUUACGUCUCUUUAGUAAGACACCCAUUUCUCUCGUAUUUCUUGACAGCGCACUCAAAUACCUGAGCAAAAUUGCAGCCUUCGCGAAGGAUUGAAAUCAAUUGAUCGCUUAGACGCUGAGUUUUGUAUAGGUCUGUCCCAUUUUGCCUUAACCAUUAAGUCAUCUUCACUUCCUCUUUAUCAUGGAUUUUCUGCUGGUCUGAUUCCUAUGCUGGCUCCAUAAACUGUUCCCGCGUUCCGCACUUCCUAAAGCAGGAAAAAAAUGCCUGGUACUGUAACUGAUUUGAAUCGAUUCUCAAAUCCUAAACUAAUGCAAGCGAAAAGUGAAAUAAUUGACAUUGCAGGAAAAAUAAAAUAAAAUAAAAAACAAAGCAUGCUCAGACUGUGAAUAUACUUCUAGAACGAGGGAAAACUGAAGUGUUAGGAUAAUCUGAGACAUUUAUGCCCACAUUUGUAAGGUAGGAAAAACUGCAUAAAUGGCAUUUGCUUAGGAGAAAAGAAAUGUCGAUGCUAAAUUUGGCUUGAUUUAUCAGAUUUCUAUUCAUUUCUUUGUAGAAAUCGAUAAACAAUAGCAGAUUGCGAAUUUCUGACCACCAACAUGGCUGCCCGUGAAUAACGUGGAAGCGUGUUCCACAUGCACCAUCUUUUUCCACAAAGACUUUGCCAUGAGAAAGAUUGAAGGAGACUUGGCAUGGAACUUUAACCUGGAUUGCAGGGCAAAGGGAAUUAUUGUGAUGGUAACAAUACGAAUUUUCAAUUAUUUGGGGGUCAAUAUAUAUAAUUACAGCACCUUUGAACUUGAAGGGUUUCACGGUUUUAUGUAUGUUUCUGCAUGGGAUCUAAAUUCAUUACCUUUCCCCCCCCCCCCUUUCUGGGAACCUUGUACAGAUUAUGGAGGAGAAGAACGUAAAUUUUUGGAUACAUAACUGCUGAUAAUGAACCAUGAAGCCUCGUUCUUGGACUGACUCUGUCAUGUGUGUUGAGGGCUAUCAUCGAUGUCAUAGUCAUUUACCGCAUAAGGACGUACAUGGAGGAAUGGCAUUUACAGCAAAUCCUCCCAGCCGCCCUUGAAAGCUUUCAAUCCGUUCGAGCUGAAACAAAUGAUCUGAGAGAUUUGAUUUGUUUGAAGAAUUAUAAACUGAAAGGAAAGAAAUGAAAAUGAUCCUAUUCCAAUGUGCACAAGGAUCCUCUUAUUUGAGCUUGACAUGCCCCAAAAUUGUAAAAAAUUUUAAAUCAAUGACAGUUUAUCAAGAACACUAAUUGUGGAAAGAAACAAAACUUCUAAUUGUGGAUUAAAUGUCAGAGGUGACAUAAAAGAAAUGUAUUCGUCCUACAGUAAAGGAUCUGUUUGAUCAAAUGACAAAGAUAUCAUCAUCUAAUUAAUAGCAAUUAAGCAUAGCAUGUGAAGUCCAAACAAGGCCAAUCUGGCUUCCUGAAUUCGGAUUGUCGGUAGUUUUGUAGUAUCUAUAGAGAUAAAUAAAAAUGAGAUAAAACGAGACUAGGAGAAAACCUUAAUACGCUACUCGUUCUUGUGGGGGAAAAAUAGUGCUCAGAUGUUAGGGAAGUAAGUUUGCGCACCAACUUUUGUCAGUCCCAACAGGAUUUUACUCAAUACAAUAACAUACGACUCGGUAGUGAAUUUUGGGAAAUUCGGCAAAAUGUUUUGGUAAACUCUAAGACGUACUUAUUAUCACCACAUGUAUAUAUUUUUUGAAAUAUAAGAUUUCUAAAAUGCUGAAUAUCUAAGAUGUAAUUUCUUUUUUUUGUGGUUUCCAAGUAUUAUAUUAUUGUCUUUAUGUAUGCUUUUUCACUGAUGUGAAUGUUCUCUUUGAUGUUAUUUAAGCAAAAUGUUUCUUUUUUUUAGUUCACUGUUCUCGCACGUCUCAUGUGCUGAUUUUAUCUUCCAUUUUAGUUAUUUUUUCAGUUUUUUUUGGUAUUAAUGAUAGGUGAAAUGAUUGAUAUUGCUGUUUUAGUUAGAUGUUAAUGAUCAUUAGUGAUGUUUCAAUUAAAAUACUAAUUUUUAACGAAAGAUGAGACUGACACUGGACCUUUUUGAGUACUUUCAUGAUGUUUCUUUGGAAUGAUUUUGGUGGUGCCCGACAACUUUAUGUGAUUCCUCUGUUUUCCAGUGCAUGAGCUGUGUGAAAACUAAAAGUUUAACAAACGCCAAAACGAUUGAGCUGACAGAAAGUUUUUUUGCGAUUGACCGAAUUAUAAACAGCAUUACAAUUGACAACCACCAAAAUUAUCAGAAUAAAUACUAAUAAUUAAUUCCAAGGUAAUCUAAUCUAAUCUUAAAUAAGGGUACACUACUUACUGCUAGUUAUCAUAAAGGGGUCAUAAAAUACUAAUAAUUAUAUUAUUGCUGUUUUGGAAUUUUAACUUACACUCUAAUAUGCCUAGACAAGGGUAAGGAGUACAGAUGCUAAUUACCUUGCCGAUACUGUGCAACCAGAUUUUUCAAUCUUUACGGUAAAAUGAAAUUUUCAUGGAUCAUUCUAACAUCACUUCUUUGGGUGCAAUUGUUCUUACAUCACGUCCUUAGAUUUUUUUUUUUUUUUUUUUUUUACCAAGCAAGUUAAGACUUUUGUGGUAAUAAAUUAACCGAAACCACAAUUGUUCUUUACAUCACGUCCUUAGAUAAGAAUGAAAUUUUUGGUGGAUUAUGGCCACGCGUAGAAAAAAAAAAUCUCAGAAACUAGACUAAGCCUAUAUUAAUUCAUAUUAUAUUUGUGCAUGGAAAUGUGUACAAGGAACAGAAAAGGACGGAUCGCAGAUGGUCUGUUAACAAAAUUUCACGCAAACAUCGAUCAAACCUUGUAUAAAAGGAUGCAAGUGACCUGGCCAAUUAACCACUGGGCUUAGCUCCCUGGCUAUCAGGAGGGACUUAAAUCCUUUCUUGGGUUGUAGGUGAGGAUUCAAAUCUCAUCUGUAAAAGAAAAAAGUUUUAAAGAUUGUAUCAUAACAUUUUCUUGAUCUAGUUGAAUUUGUAUAUCUAUUGGCCCUUGACAUAAGCUUUCUUAGGCUUUCCCUCUCCCCUAAAUUAGAAUAAAAUAGGUUAUAUCGUUGUCUUCUUAGGCUUCCCCUUUCCCCUAGAUUAGAAUAAAAUAUAGGUUAUGUUGUUGAGAAAAAAAAAAAAAAAAAGGCCGACCUAUGCAGAGGCUAGUACAUGCAAAGCCCAAAAUGCAGACCUGACAGUAUUAGUUCAUUCAGAUCCAAAAGUGGUAAAACUUCAGCAGGGAAAUGUGAAAGAAGGGAUGUCCUUCUUGGCCUCGGAGGGCUAUAUGGUGCAACCACACUUGGCACCAAACAAUCAAGCCUUGCGCUGCCGGUUUCACCCGAUAUUUCCAACUGUACCGAUGCCAGGGAGACUCCAAAUGGCAUACCGAUCAACUGUUGCCCUCCCUCCGCUGCGGGUAGCAGUGAUUAUACACCUUCUGCUCGCGAAGUCUACACAAGAAUGCCGGCUCACACGGUCAGCCAUGACUGCGUCAAAAAAUAUUCAUCUGCCAUUGCAAAAUGAAGAACCUUUCUCUGAGCGAUCCUCGUAAUUUUACCAACUAGCAAACGUCCAUUGCGUUACUGUGACGAAGGGUACUCUCAAUUGGGCUUUCCAGACAAAAAAUUGGACGUUCAUAACUCAUGGCUAUUUUUUCCGGGGCACAGAUGGUACCUUUAUUUCUUCGAAAGAAUUUGUA